rnacentral:rRNA from 1 species
CCUACGGGAGGCAGCAGUGAGGAAUAUUGGUCAAUGGGCGCGAGCCUGAACCAGCCAAGUAGCGUGACGGAUUACUGCCCUACGGGUUGUAAACUUCUUUUAUAAAGGAAUAAAGUGAGGCACGUGUGCCUUUUUGCAGGUACUUUAUGAAUAAGGAUCGGCUAACUCCGUGCCAGCAGCCGCGGUAAUACGGAGGAUCCGAGCGUUAUCCGGAUUUAUUGGGUUUAAAGGGAGCGGAGGUGGGUCGUUAAGUCAGUUGUGAAAGUUUGCGGCUCAACCGUAAAAUUGCAAUUGAUACUGGCAGUCUUGAGUACAGUAGAGGUAGGCGGAAUUCGUGGUGUAGCGGUGAAAUGCUUAGAUAUCACGAAGAACUCCGAUUGCGAAGGCAGCUUACUAAACUGCCACUGACAUUGAUGCUCGAAAGUGUGGGUAUCAAACAGGAUUAGAUACCCGAGUAGUC